AUGCCUCGAUCUCUUCUCCUUGGCCGGAGCAUCGCCAUCCCCGCCGCCCUUCUCCUCCGUCCUCUUCCUCUUUGUCUGUUGUGUUGCUGCCACAUCAGCCUCAGCCUCAGCCUCAGCCUCAGGAGCAACGGCAGCAGCAACGUCCUCAAUCCCCUGGUAGAUGACAAACUCAGGGAGCUCCAUUGGACACCUCAACCGGUUGAAAGACCUGAGCUGCGCCAUGGCGGUGGCAAGGUCGAGACGAUCGGCGCCGGCCAGCGGGCUUCUGCCCAGCGCCGAAAUGUAGUCGACGAACGGCUUGGCACGGAACGAGUCCCUCAUGUACACCUCGUCCACCACGGCGCCGUACGCCCCCUCCCUGAUCCCGGUGUUCUGAAUCUGCUGCUUCCUGGCGACGGUGGGCGGGGAGCAGGAGCAGGAGAGGCCGGCCUCGAUGCGGCGGGUGACCUCCUGCAGCGCGGCGUCGACGGCGGCGACGUAGCUGGAGACGGUGCUCUGGGCGGCGAGGCGGGGGAAGUGGGCGCGGAAGGGGCGCAGCACGGAGGGGUCCAUCCAGGCGAAGGUCCGGUCCCAGAAGUAGGCGACGAGGGGCGCGCCGGGCCUGGCGUGCCGGAGCGCGAGCUCGGAGGCGUCGGCGGCGUCGAAGACCUGGGCCGGCCACCAGGGGUGGCUCCGCACCUUGCACCACACCACGUCGGGCGGCGCGAACCCCUGCUGCCCCUCCUUCUCCUCGUCCUGGAACGGGCAGUCGUACCGCGGCCGCGCGCCGGCGUCGUCCUCCUGCUCGCCGCCGCCCUCCUUGUGCAGCUUGGCGCGGCCGCGGCGGGGGCUCUUGAGGACCUCCUCCACCUCCGGGCGCAUGACGCGGAUGCGCGAUGGGCGGGCGGGGGCCGGCCCCUCGCCCUCGGGGGCCUGCGCGGCCAUGGCGGCGCCGCCGCUGCGCGAAAAGAAGCAACAAGGACGGGUUAG
rnacentral:rRNA from 1 species